AGCAGCCGCGGUAAUUCAGCUCCAAUAGCGUAUAUUAAAGUUGUUGCAGUUAAAAAGCUCGUAGUUGAAUUUCGGGGUUAGUAGGUUGGUCAUGCCUCUGGUAUGUACUGGUCUCACUGAUUCCUCCUUCCUGAUGAGCCGUAAUGCCAUUAAUUUGGUGUUGCGGGGAAUUUGGACUGUUACUUUGAAAAAAUUAGAGUGUUUAAAGCAAGCUAACGCUUGAAUACAUUAGCAUGGAAUAAUGAAAUAGGACGUUCGAUCCUAUUUUGUUGGUUUCUAGGAUUGACGUAAUGAUUAAUAGGGAUAGUUGGGGGCAUUAGUAUUCAAUUGUCAGAGGUGAAAUUCUUGGAUUUAUUGAAGACUAACUACUGCGAAAGCAUUUGCCAAGGAUGUUUUCAUUAAUCAAGAACGAAAGUUAGGGGAUCGAAGACGAUCAGAUACCGUCGUAGUCUUAACCAUAAACUAUGCCGACUAGGGAUCGGAUGAUGUUAAUUUUUAAGAUGACUCA
rnacentral:rRNA from 1 species